rnacentral:rRNA from 1 species
CGAAUGCUGACAUAAGUAACGAUAAAGCGGGUGAAAAGCCCGCUCGCCGGAAGACCAAGGGUUCCUGUCCAACGUUAAUCGGGGCAGGGUGAGUCGACCCCUAAGGCGAGGCCGAAAGGCGUAGUCGAUGGGAAACAGGUUAAUAUUCCUGUACUUGGUGUUACUGCGAAGGGGGGACGGAGAAGGCUAUGUUGGCCGGGCGACGGUUGUCCCGGUUUAAGCGUGUAGGCUGGUUUUCCAGGCAAAUCCGGAAAAUCAAGGCUGAGGCGUGAUGACGAGGCACUACGGUGCUGAAGCAACAAAUGCCCUGCUUCCAGGAAAAGCCUCUAAGCAUCAGGUAACAUCAAAUCGUACCCCAAACCGACACAGGUGGUCAGGUAGAGAAUACCAAGGCGCUUGAGAGAACUCGGGUGAAGGAACUAGGCAAAAUGGUGCCGUAACUUCGGGAGAAGGCACGCUGAUAUGUAGGUGAAGUCCCUCGCGGAUGGAGCUGAAAUCAGUCGAAGAUACCAGCUGGCUGCAACUGUUUAUUAAAAACACAGCACUGUGCAAACACGAAAGUGGACGUAUACGGUGUGACGCCUGCCCGGUGCCGGAAGGUUAAUUGAUGGGGUUAGCCGCAAGGCGAAGCUCUUGAUCGAAGCCCCGGUAAACGGCGGCCGUAACUAUAACGGUCCUAAGGUAGCGAAAUUCCUUGUCGGGUAAGUUCCGACCUGCACGAAUGGCGUAAUGAUGGCCAGGCUGUCUCCACCCGAGACUCAGUGAAAUUGAACUCGCUGUGAAGAUGCAGUGUACCCGCGGCAAGACGGAAAGACCCCGUGAACCUUUACUAUAGCUUGACACUGAACAUUGAGCCUUGAUGUGUAGGAUAGGUGGGAGGCUUUGAAGUGUGGACGCCAGUCUGCAUGGAGCCGACCUUGAAAUACCACCCUUUAAUGUUUGAUGUUCUAACGUUGACCCGUAAUCCGGGUUGCGGACAGUGUCUGGUGGGUAGUUUGACUGGGGCGGUCUCCUCCUAAAGAGUAACGGAGGAGCACGAAGGUUGGCUAAUCCUGGUCGGACAUCAGGAGGUUAGUGCAAUGGCAUAAGCCAGCUUGACUGCGAGCGUGACGGCGCGAGCAGGUGCGAAAGCAGGUCAUAGUGAUCCGGUGGUUCUGAAUGGAAGGGCCAUCGCUCAACGGAUAAAAGGUACUCCGGGGAUAACAGGCUGAUACCGCCCAAGAGUUCAUAUCGACGGCGGUGUUUGGCACCUCGAUGUCGGCUCAUCACAUCCUGGGGCUGAAGUAGGUCCCAAGGGUAUGGCUGUUCGCCAUUUAAAGUGGUACGCGAGCUGGGUUUAGAACGUCGUGAGACAGUUCGGUCCCUAUCUGCCGUGGGCGCUGGAGAACUGAGGGGGGCUGCUCCUAGUACGAGAGGACCGGAGUGGACGCAUCACUGGUGUUCGGGUUGUCAUGCCAAUGGCACUGCCCGGUAGCUAAAUGCGGAAGAGAUAAGUGCUGAAAGCAUCUAAGCACGAAACUUGCCCCGAGAUGAGUUCUCCCUGACUCCUUGAG